CUCCUUGCACACACCACCCGUCGCUUCACCGAAGCUGGUUCUUGGCGAGGUGGCGCCUAAUUGGCGCUAUCGAACCUGGGGUCAGCAACGGGGAG
rnacentral:rRNA from 1 species